GGUACAGAACCCUCGAGGGGGGCCUCGCGGAUUUGGGAGGAACGACACCACGCCGCCGCCGCCUGCUCACCACGCCGCCGCUCGAUUCCUCCACAACACGCCGUCGAACGACAUCUCUACGCCGGCGUACCUCCUCCGCCAUACUGGCCUUCUCCUCGGUGAUUCUUGAGGUUCCAAGUCUGUCGGAGGAAGGCUCGUCCGUCGUCAAGAGGAACUCGCUGUCAAUUCAUCUGUAGGACAACAUCAUUCUCACCCUUGCUUGGUCUGUAAAACAUAAUUGAUUGUGAGCUAUGAGAGAUUAUGUUGCUGUGAUGUGAUUGAUAUUGCUGUGAUGAGAUACUGAUUCCAAGUCAAGAUGUGAAGAACUGCUGUCACAUUUUUAUUAGGUGUCAUUCACAAUUUUAUAGCAAGUUUGUCUACCAUUUAACCUGUAAAGAUUGGAUUUUUAAUUGUUUUAUACCAUUUUAACUCAA